AUUGUCCCCAGAGGAAGUGGCGACUAACUCUGUGCCAGCAGUCGCGGUAAUACAGAGGCCACGAGCAUUAGUCGGAAUCACUGGGCUUAAAGGGUGCGUAGGUGGCUUGCCAAGUGCUUUGUGAAAUCCCACGGCUCAACCGUGGAACAGCAGGGCAUACUGGCAGGCUUGAGGCAAGUAGGGGCUGACGGAACAGUAGGUGGAGCGGUGAAAUGCGUAGAUAUCUACUGGAACGCCGAUGGUGAAGACGGUCAGCUGGGCUUGUCCUGACACUGAGGCACGAAAGCGUGGGGAGCAAACAGGAUUAGAUACCCUGGUAGUCCACGCCGUAAACGAUGCGCACUAGACCGGUGCGGUUUUGACGCCGUAUCGGUCGUAGUAAAAACGAUAAGUGCGCCGCCUGGGGAGUACGGUCGCAAGAUUAAAACUCAAAGGAAUUGACGGGAGCUCACACAAGCGGUGGAGCAUGUUGCUUAAUUCGAGGCAACGCGAAGAACCUUACCUGGGUUUGACAUGCUUGGAUUAACCUCUUGAAAGAGAGGCCACGCCCUUCGG
rnacentral:rRNA from 1 species